UCAAAUCAGGUAGGACUUA
rnacentral:rRNA from 1 species